UUACCUUCCUUGUUAUAGGCUCCUUAAGCUUGGUGACAGCCCUUUCUACUUCUGUUGCCUGAGUCAUUGAACAUUUAAUUGGACUGACUACUAUGAUUCCCCAAAUGUGGGAAACUCAGUUGCAUAAUUUAUGGUAGUGGGGGACUUCCAUCAUGUAGUUCCCUG